GUACAGCGGCAGCAGCAACUCGUAGAUUCCCACGUCCGAGUUCUCGACGGCCAACACGAUCCGCUCGAAGCUCGGGCUGUACUUGUCCAGGAAGCGUCGGAUCGUCCCUGCGCAGCAAAAUCGAUUAAUUAAAUUACAUAAUUAUUCCGAGAAGAAAAUGAUCAGGCAAUUGCGGGAGAUUACCAAUUAAAAUUUCCCCCUACCUCACAUGCACUCUCUUGGUAAUAAAAACACACGGACUGACUGACCAGAGAAGAUAAGAGAUGAUAGCGUGCAAACAUUUGACUUUCCUCAGCGUUAAAAAAUAACAAUCACCCACGUCAUUCACACAUGAAGAUGAAGUUGAUCAGUUUCAUUGGAAGCACAAAUUUGAGAAUCUAAUAAAGUACGUGGAUGGAUUAAAAUUACACACCCUUGCGAAGAGGAACUUUCUGAAUACAUUCCAGUUUGCAAAAACCAUCUUUAAAAGGAAUAAAAUUUAUGAAAGAUAUUAAGUGUGACACGUCUUUGGACAGAUCAGAUCAUGAGGAAUCAAUUAAAGGCCAGAAAUAAAUGAUAAAACAUGACCGUGUCUGAACCGUGACUCGAUGCAAAUACAUGAAAAGCUCAGCAAAAGUCAAGUGUGCGCCCCGAGUGCAAGCCAAAGAAGCCAAGUGUCGGGGGCAGAAAUUGAUUGCGCUUACUGAGGGCGAUGUGCGCCCCCUGGUCCGGGGGGUAGUUCCUCUUGACCGAGUUGAUGGCCGGGAUGGCGAGGGUGGCGACGCCGAGCUCGCAGGCCUUCUGCAGAACGUUCCUGCAACCGCACAAAACAAGCAAUGAGUGAAUCGGGAAGCUUAUCUUGGCCAAACAAUUGCCAUUGAUUGAUUCCCGGUGACGGCGAUAAGCAUAGAAAGGAUGAUAUGAAAUUUCGCCUGCGCCUUAUUUUGAGGAAAGACAACUUUCAAACUGGAAGUGAUUCUUAUCGUGCGGGUGAAUCGGGGCAGCUGCGCAAACAGCUCCUUAUUUACUUUUGACUUUGUCCGACCGUCGGAUCGAUGCCUCGGCCGUCAAUAAUUCAUCAAAGAAGCGCGUGCUAAUUCGCGGCCGAAAUGACGAAAGGCGCCCCGGGACUGUCGUGACCAAAGUCGUGACUGCACCUGUGGCCCCACUCGGAAAACACCCCUUUGCUUAUCAGCGGCUUAUCGCCGGCACGCGACGCCAAAGAAUUAGCGCGUCCAAACGGCCAAUUCCCCUGCUCUUAAUUUUCUGAUCAAAUCAACAUUUAUUUCUGUAA